rnacentral:rRNA from 3 species
UAACAAGGUUUCCGUAGGUGAACCUGCGGAAGGAUCAUUAUUG